rnacentral:rRNA from 1 species
GACAGAGGGUGCAAACGUUGUUCGGAAUUACUGGGCGUAAAGCGCGUGUAGGCGGCUCGAUAAGUCUGCUGUGAAAGUCCAGGGCUCAACCCUGGGAUGCCGGUGGAUACUGUCGAGCUCGAGUCCGGAAGAGGCGAGUGGAAUUCCUGGUGUAGCGGUGAAAUGCGCAGAUAUCAGGAGGAACACCGAUGGCGAAGGCAGGUCUCUGGGCCACUACUGACGCUGAGAAGCGAAAGCAUGGGGAGCGAACAGG